rnacentral:misc_RNA from 1 species
AAAAAACGUUCCGAGAGGAACAGAAACAUCUACCCUGCGAACGGUAGCGAAAGCGUAAAGGUGUAGUCCCCAAGGACUCCCUCCCGGCCGCAUUAUAUACUUCAAACUUUUAUCGUCUGAAUCUUUUUGUUGUUCUUUUUGAACUCCAAUAUGAAUUAUUAAA